rnacentral:rRNA from 1 species
ACACUGGGGAUACCUUAGUAACGGCGAGUGAAGCGGUAAAAGCUCAAAUUUGAAAUCUGGUACUUUCAGUGCCCGAGUUGUAAUUUGUAGAAUUUGUCUUUGAUUAGGUCCUUGUCUAUGUUCCUUGGAACAGGACGUCAUAGAGGGUGAGAAUCCCGUUUGGCGAGGAUACCUUUUCUCUGUAAGACUUUUUCGAAGAGUCGAGUUGUUUGGGAAUGCAGCUCAAAGUGGGUGGUAAAUUCCAUCUAAAGCUAAAUAUUGGCGAGAGACCGAUAGCGAACAAGUACAGUGAUGGAAAGAUGAAAAGAACUUUGAAAAGAGAGUGAAAAAGUACGUGAAAUUGUUGAAAGGGAAGGGCAUUUGAUCAGACAUGGUGUUUUUUGCAUGCACUCGCCUCUCGUGGGCUUGGGCCUCUCAAAAAUUUCACUGGGCCAACAUCAAUUCUGGCAGCAGGAUAAAUCAUUAAGAAUGUAGCUACUUCGGUAGUGUUAUAGCUUUUUGGAAUACUGUUAGCCGGGAUUGAGGACUGCGCUUCGGCAAGGAUGUUGGCAUAAUGGUUAAAUGCCGCCCGUCUUGAAACCACGGGACCAAAA